rnacentral:tRNA from 1 species
ACUAAUUUGGCAGAAAAGUGCAUCGAAUUUAAGCUUCGAAUAUAAAACUCACCAUUUUAUUUAGUA